AGCGAACGCUGGCGGCAGGCCUAACACAUGCAAGUCGAACGAACUCUUCGGAGUUAGUGGCGGACGGGUGAGUAACACGUGGGAACGUGCCUUUAGGUUCGGAAUAACUCAGGGAAACUUGUGCUAAUACCGAAUGUGCCCUUCGGGGGAAAGAUUUAUCGCCUUUAGAGCGGCCCGCGUCUGGUUAGCUAGUUGGUGAGGUAACGGCUCACCGAGGCGACGAUCAGUAGCUGGUCUGAAGGGAUGGCCAUCCACACUGGGACUGAGACACGGCCCAGACUCCUACGGGAGGCAGCAGUGGGGAAUCUUGCGCAAUGGGCGAAAGCCUGACGCAGCCAUGCCGCGUGAAUGAUGAAGGUCUUAGGAUUGUAAAAUUCUUUCACCGGGGACGAUAAUGACGGUACCCGGAGAAGAAGCCCCGGCUAACUUCGUGCCAGCAGCCGCAGUAA
rnacentral:rRNA from 1 species